rnacentral:rRNA from 1 species
CCCGGGGCUGUGGCUUACAAUGCAGUCGUGACGAGCAGAUCGCAGUAGCUUGCUUCUCUGAUGUUAGCGGCGGACGGGUGAGUAACACGUGGGUAACCUACCUAUAAGACUGGGAUAACUCCGGGAAACCGGGGCUAAUACCGGAUAAUAUAUUGAACCGCAUGGUUCAAUGUUGAAAGACGGUUUCGGCUGUCACUUAUAGAUGGACCCGCGCCGUAUUAGCUAGUUGGUAAGGUAACGGCUUACCAAGGCAACGAUACGUAGCCGACCUGAGAGGGUGAUCGGCCACACUGGAACUGAGACACGGUCCAGACUCCUACGGGAGGCAGCAGUAGGGAAUCUUCCGCAAUGGGCGAAAGCCUGACGGAGCAACGCCGCGUGAGUGAUGAAGGUCUUAGGAUCGUAAAACUCUGUUGUUAGGGAAGAACAAAUUUGUUAGUAACUGAACAAGUCUUGACGGUACCUAACCAGAAAGCCACGGCUAACUACGUGCCAGCAGCCGCGGUAAUACGUAGGUGGCAAGCGUUAUCCGGAAUUAUUGGGCGUAAAGCGCGCGUAGGCGGUUUCUUAAGUCUGAUGUGAAAGCCCACGGCUCAACCGUGGAGGGUCAUUGGAAACUGGGGAACUUGAGUGCAGAAGAGGAGAGUGGAAUUCCAUGUGUAGCGGUGAAAUGCGCA